GUGCAUUGGCCUGUACUAGUGGCAUUAGGAGUGUGGAGAGGAGCCCCUUAGUCUGUUCCCUCCCUUAUCUCCGUGCAGCCAGUGAAGACAAAUUCCAGACAAAUGUAUCUCAACUCCUGUUAGGGCACUGUUGUGGAAAAAAUAUCCUAAAAGCUCCAAAACCCAGUUCAACAAAAAAACCAAGCAGUAACUCGAAGAGAAGAAUUCAAAUUUACUAGCGCGGUCGCACUCGAGCUAGUACUCUGAAGAUCUGGGCAGUGGGUGCAGUUGAAAUACUGCUUAUAUACCAGAAUUUUCACCCAAGCUAAUUGGUCAGUUAGAACUCAAACCUUUACAAAUGACGGGAGGUUGCUGAGGAGGCUACAAGUAGUAACAUUGGUAAGGCCGGGAGUUGUCAGGGUUGCGAACAAAUACAAAUUGUUACAGAAAGCCAGAGGCUGCUAGGGUACAGUUACAUUCGUGGAGCAAAGGCACAAACAGUUACAUUUGCAAGUCGAGCAAAGUGCAAGGGAGCUUUUGCAGGAGCCCUUGCUUGCAGUAAGCUUAUUUGCAGAAAGCAAGCAUAUUUACAGAAGCAGAAAGCUGAUUAGUUUUUAAUGAAAUUCCCCCGAUUUCUCUUCAGCACCACACCUGUCUGAAGAAGGGGUGAAUUCCUCAUCCCUGAGGUGAUCCAGGAAUGAGGGUGCUGGGGGUUUUUGCUAAGUAGCCUCAUUGGGUACCUCUGAAUCUUUUUGGCAAAUUUCCCUCAAUAAGACAGGCCUGAGCACAUGUAACCUGGGAGGCGGAAUGGGAUGGCAUCCCCAGCCAGCAAUGGUAUUGUUGCGGAAAAAGCUCCAAAAUCAGACUAGCGAAAAACCAAGCAGUAGUAACUCAGAGAGAAGGAGAACUCAGGUUUAUUACCUACAGUCCCAGGGGAGCUAAAGCUCUGAAGGUCUGAGCCAAGAGCACAGUUGCAACAUUCCUUAUAUACAGGCUUUCUACGCAAGCUGAUUGGUUAAUUUGAACUCAGCCGUUACAAACAGCAGGAGUUGCUAUGGUUGCAAGUAAUAACAUUGGUAGAGCAGCAGGAGUUGUUAUGGGUUACCGAUGGUUACAAAUUGUUACAGGAAGGGGGGGCUGGUAAGGUACAAAGUGCUACAAGAGGCAGGAGCUGCUGGGGGCAUAAGCGGUUACAUUUGUUACUUAGACAGGUCUAGCAAAGUGCAAGUGAGCUCUGCAAGUGAGCUCUUGCGUGCGGCAAGCAUAUUUACAGAAGCAGAACAAAUGGCUGAUUAGUUCUUAAUGAAAAUUCCUCAAAUUUCCUUUUCAGUAUGUUGAGAAGAAAGGGGCUGGUGGGGUGGAAGAGCUAUCCCCAUUUGCCCUCUCUGGGCCACCUGAUUUGGGAUAAGCCCUUUGACGCUGCUACCUUCUCUGAAGAAACCUGGGCCCGCACAGUUCCUGGGCUUUCCAAGAACUGGGGACAGGUGGACAUGCCAAAGGUUAGAGCAAGUUCAUGGGGCAAAACCAUCCAGGCACCUGCUCAGAUCCCAAAGGUCAGAGCUUCCUGAGUCAGAAGGCAGCACAGGCAUGAGGCCUCAGGUUCCAAGAGUCCAGAAGCAGCUGGAGCAGCUGGAACUGAGGAGGAGGGGCUGGACACUGCAGGUAGGAAUAGGAAGAGGAAGGGAGGUCACCUGGGGGGAGGGGAAAGCAUAUCACUUAGUUGAGAGCUGGAGGGUCCUUAGAAAGAGUCUGAAGAGAUCUGGGGAGCAGAGACCCAGAGACAGGUGGAGCUUUCCCAAGGCCACACAGCAGGCUGGGGUUAACACCCAGAUCUUCUGGCUCUUAGUCUGGGGAUCCUCCUGCUGCCAUACCUUAGCAUCAGGAAAGCACAUCUCUGUGCUGAUAAGUAAGGGUCAUGACCAAGCCUCUGGUCACAGGCUGUUUGUUCUCUACUCUUGUUCCUCACCAACUGUGCCCUCCCCUCUCUUCCCCCUCCUCCAAUACAACACCCUCCUCCCACCUCCACAUUGCUACUGUGGGGUGGGAGGAGGGCAGUGUUCUCAACUCUUAUGGUCUAGAACUCUCAGGUUGUGUGCUCAGGUGGCUCGGUGCUCUCUCCAAUCUCUCUGAGCCUGAGAGAGGCCCACCCAGGCCAGGAUGAGCCUGAUAAGACUUUAGGGGCCAGUUAAGAUUCUUCUACCCCACUGAGUCUUGUCUUAAUGCAGGAGCAUUUCAAAAAGACAGCAGUUUCCUUAAUCAGUGUCUUGUCCAUUCCUUUCAGCAUCACUUAAACACCUUGAAAUAUAAAAGAAAGGGUGCAGGAUAGGGGACUUGGCAGCCACUCUGAAAGUCUGAGCCUCAACUUCCUCAUCUGGAAAAUGGAAACCGUGCUUCAUAGACUGAGAAGCUCUUGGGACCCCGAGAAAGUGCUGGAUCGAACUCUGCUUUACCUGCUUUGGAAGAGUUCUGUGAGUCAAGGUGCUGAAUCACCGCAUAGUGAGGUCCCAGCCCGCCUCGCCGCCGCCGCUGCCCCCGGCUCAGAACGGAUCUCGAUUUUCCUAACUGGGAGGCACAGAAAGCUAACACAGCGCCCUGGUUUCACAAACCGAGGCGCAGUUCCUACGCGGUCACUGCAGAACCCCCACCCUCGAGCCGAACCGGGUUUCAACCAAGUCCCAGGAGCCUCUGGAGAAAACUUGGAGGCCUUCCUGUCCUGGCGGCCCGGGGAAGGAGGCGCGUCGCCAGCCCUCUGCUCCUUGGCCACGGCGGCAGGCGAGGACCGCCGGGACGGGAAGCUCCCGGGAACCCUGAUGUAACUCGGCACCUGGCUUGCAGGAGAAACCCCCAGGGCUGCUGCCGCCUGUUUACUGCAGCUGGAAGUGAAGAGGGUGGAGCCCCAGCCGCCCCGCCCCGGCCCCCGGAGCUUCCCACCCCUAAUUCAGGGCGCGCUAUAAGGUCCUCCGGGGGAUCCAAGGGUCUUGAUCCCGGUUACAGAACCCCGGCGGGUCGCUCGGCUCCCGCGGGGAUUGGUCUUGUUUCAGCCUAAGAUCUGGAGCAGUGGCGGUGCCAAGGGGUGACUCCGAAAGGGCCUGAGCCCUAAAGCAACUCAAAGUAACAUUCGAACCAAAUAAAAAACUGGAGCUUGCUAUGCCCGCUCAGCUUCAAGACAAGGGCCCUCGGAACUGAACGUACCAGCGUCUGCACUGCAGUGGUGGCAAGUCCUCACAUCUCUGUAGUCUCAGUUUCCUUCUCUGUACAAUGGAGAGCACGUUGACAUGA